ensembl:lncRNA
CCACGUGGGCCGAGACUCUGCCCUGCCCAGGCGCCGCCGAGCCGCUUCUUGCCUGGAGGCCGGCUAUGGGCUCUUACUGGGUUCCUAAUUUGCGUCCCACUCACAGAGUGGCAGGGAAAAGAGAAGUCUGAAGUACAUGAAAACACGGGCUUCGGAGCUAGAGGAAGCUGGCCUUCUUAAAUACCGUCUCCCACUUCCAUGCUGUGACCUUGAUAAACCUAUUCAAGAUACCCACCUUGCUGAUUAGAAAAAAGAUUAAGAUGAAAUGGACUCGGCGCACCUGGUAGGCACUCCCCUUAAUGAUUACAACUGAAGAACUAUCUCAGAGGUUUCUGACCUAGGGCUAAAUUGCUUUCACUCUCUAAUGACUAAUGGAUUGGCGGGAUGGUCUAAGCUUUUGUCCUGGCCACCUGAACUGCUCAGCCCUGGGAGUCUUGACAAGCAAUUUCCUUGGAAUUAGCUUAAUAAUGCCUCGUAGGUGUGUGAUGCAUUUCAAAGAACUUUCCCAUCAUUAUCUUGGGUCCUAGCCGGCAGCUGGGCUCAGAGAGAAGUGGCUUGCUCCAGGUCACAUGGCACAUGAGCCUGCAGCUUUCCCUGGUGUUAACUUCUAAGUGAACAGAAGGCAGACUACUGUGGUAGAGUAAAAAAGGUCCCUCAGAACUGAGGCUCACUGGAGGCACAGUCUGUAGCCUGCAGUACUCAGCAAGUCCGGGAUUUUCACCCUCGAUGGGCUGUAUCCAGAGAACACAGCACAGCCUAACACACCAUCCAAGGUGGAGAUAACCAGUCUUAAGGUUAUUUGGGGCAAGGGUUUCUCACAUGGGAACUCCCGACCUCCAGAAGGUUGGAGGUCUGCUAUUACUCUUAAAAAAUUCAUGUGUGCCUUCGGAAGGAUGCUCAUAUCGUCCUUCAACUCAUCAGAGGAAAUCAGGACCCAGAUCAGGAUUAAAAACUAUUCAUCAGACUGUAGGAUGAUUGGCAAAGACAGAGGUUGCACCCCCCCCCUUUGACCCUGGUUCACCCCAAAAGGCUUACUAGGGUUAAUGCACAAAGGGUAAUGACAUGACCCUUUUGUUAUGAAAUAUUAGUAACUAUGCCAAGACCCAACACACAGAGAUCAUAUAAACAGGAAUUCAGUGAGGCCAGGAGCCUGGUGCAUCCCACCUGGGGAGGCACCGUGUUGGGGGUGAAUAGAUGGGACAUGGGCUGAUGUCUUUUUCUUUGCUGGCCAGUAAGAUCCUAGUCAUGCCCAACAAAAUCCUAGUCAGUUUUCUCAAACUCACAGGUCAAAGUUAAAAGUUUAGAGCUCGAAGGGAACGUGCAGCAUUGCUUCCCAGCUAGCCUGCAUCUCCGACAGAGGCUGAAGAUUUGAGAGACCCUGGUUUUGGUUUGGUUUUUCCAAUACAGGCUCUUACUAUGUAGCUCUGGUUGUCCUGGAACUCACUACCUACGUAGGCUUGCCUCAAAUUCAGAGAAAUGCCUAUCUCUGCCUCCCAAGUGCUGGAAUUAAAGGUGUGUUAUCGCUAUGCGCAGCAAUUGAGGGUUUUUUGGUUUUGGAAGUCUAGAAGGAAGCUAGACCAGAAAGCAUGAGGGAACUGAGACCAGGCCUGGCAGUCAGUUUAUUCAU